rnacentral:rRNA from 1 species
AUUGAACGCUAGCGGGAUGCUUUACACAUGCAAGUCGAACGCGUGGCGGACGGGUGAGUAAUAUAUCGGAACGUGCCCAGUAGCGGGGGAUAACUACUCGAAAGAGUGUCUAAUACCGCAUACUCUUGGAGCGGCCGAUAUGGGAUUAGCUAGUUGGUGGGGUAAAGGCUCACCAAGGAAACGAUCCGUAGCUGGUUUGAGAGGACGACCAGCCACACUGGGACUGAGACACGGCCCAGACUCCUACGGGAGGCAGCAGUGGGGAAUUUUGGACAAUGGGGGAAACCCUGAUGCAGCCAUCCCGCGUGUAUGAGAAGGCCUUCGGGUUGUAAAGUACUUUUGGCAGAGAAGCGGUAUCUGCAGAAGAAGCACCGGCUAACUACGUGCCAGCAGCCGCGGUAAUUC